CUUUUUAGGGUUAAACAUCAAUAUUUUUUUACGAGCCUCCUAUUUUUAAGGAAUGAUAUUAUUAUAGACGUGUCUCCUAUUUUUAUUUUUAGGGAUC
rfam:Populus trichocarpa scaffold_1_contig_97, whole genome shotgun sequence.